CCUACGGGAGGCAGCAGUGAGGAAUAUUGGUCAAUGGGCGCGAGUCUGAACCAGCCAAGUAGCGUGAAGGAUGACUGCCCUACGGGUUGUAAACUUCUUUUAUAAAGGAAUAAAGUGAGGCACGUGUGCCGUUUUGUAUGUACUUUAUGAAUAAUGAUCGGCUAACUCCGUGCCAGCAGCCGCGGUAAUACGGAGGAUCCGAGCGUUAUCCGGAUUUAUUGGGUUUAAAGGGAGCGUAGGUGGGUUGUUAAGUCAGUUGUGAAAGUUUGCGGCUCAACCGUAAAAUUGCAGUUGAUACUGGCAGUCUUGAGUGCAGUAGAGGUAGGCGGAAUUCGUGGUGUAGCGGUGAAAUGCUUAGAUAUCACGAAGAACUCCGAUUGCGAAGGCAGCUUACUGGACUGCCACUGACGUUGAUGCUCGAAAGUGUGGGUAUCAAACAGGAUUAGAUACCCUUGUAGUC
rnacentral:rRNA from 1 species